rnacentral:rRNA from 1 species
UACGGAGGGGGCUAGCGUUGUUCGGAAUUACUGGGCGUAAAGCGCACGUAGACGGCUUUUUAAGUCAGAGGUGAAAGCCCGGGGCUCAACUCCGGAAUUGCCUUUGAGACUGGAAGGCUUGAUCGUCGGAGAGGUGAGUGGAAUUCCGAGUGUAGAGGUGAAAUUCGUAGAUAUUCGGAAGAACACCAGUGGCGAAGGCGGCUCACUGGACGACUGAUGACGCUGAGGUGCGAAAGCGUGGGGAGCGAACAGG